CGCUCGCAUCAUCGUCCGCUACAUCGGCGACUCGGCACCCGCGGAGCAGCUGGUCACAUCCCUGAACGCGGCCGCGGGCAGCUCGGGGCCACGCGCAGUCGCCGUGUGCGCGGACGUGUCGGACCCCGUGCAGGUGGAGCGUCUAUUCGACGCGGCGCAGGUGGCGUUCGGGCGCGACCUCCACAUCGUGGUGACGGCCGCCGGGUUCCAGGACGCAGCGUACCCGGCCAUUCGGUGCUCGAUGUCAUAGACUCACAGGCCACGACUUACACCAGCAGCAAGUUGCCAGGAGUGAUAGCAGGAUGGGCCCGGGUGGCGGCCAAGCAGCCAGAGUUGUUGCACGGAAGACCGCCUUGCCGGUGGAGCUCACCAGCUCCAUCAUGGAGCUUGGCGGUGUCGGAGGCCCGUUCAACAACGUCAGCCUUCUCGAGCUCCUGCUGGUCGCCUCGACGCCCGAGGGCGCUGCCCUAGCUCCACCCGCCUGCGCGGUGGGUCGAGCUCCAGGAGAGGAAGAAGGCGCAUGCAUGCGCCGGCGUCUGCUGGAUCCACCUCGACCUCCCCUCACCGUGCAGCUUGGCGGAGGAACUGCGCUAAUCUUCUUCUUAAUGCACGUGGGCAGCGUGUUCAUACAUGUUCAUGGAUCCGCCGGGCAUUGCGGUCCACCAUGCACCGUCCACUUCAUCAUGUUUGAGGGUGCCAUCAGAUCUCCAGCCAAUUGGUAUACUCUUCUAUAUAUUACUGAUGUCCGCGGUUUGGCGACUUUAAAAAAAAUGUGAAACUGCACUCAUGUAUUCUAAGCGUCUUCCUCUAUACUUAUAUGGGUAAUAUGUGUGAACAUGUUUAAUUGUUGGGAUAAAAAAGUUUCAGUUGAUCCUCUAUACUUAUAUGGGUAAUAUGUGUGAACAUGUUUAAUUGUUGGGAUAAAAAAGUUUCAGUUGAUUAUAACCGCUUCUUCAUCAUAGAAAAAAAAGACCAUAUGUUACUUUAGUCCAGGGGGGAUUUUAUUAAUGCUAUCGUAGCUUCGAAUUGUCUACUUAAGUCUUGCGAUGCUACCAUACAGUUCCACAUUUGGCCAAAAAUACGUCCAUAUAGUAGUACAAUCUCCUCGAAUGUCAGCUUUUGAUGUUCCCGUAUGGCCUAUCAUGGUAACUUUAUUGUUACAAGCUAUCUGUAUAUCAAAGAUUAGUCUCUCCCCCUGAUGCCAACAAAUCAUAUUAUCCUCUUUAUAUAUAUACAAACUGAGUGCACGACAUUUGAAUUAUAUAGAUAGCCAUUAUACAUCCAUACAUUUCUUUACUUGAUCUCUAGGUUUCAACGUUUUUUAGGAAAGCAGAGUGUCUACAUGUGUCCACGAAGAGAAAAUUGCA